AUGUCCGCUCGAACAGCAGCAGGAACCUCCACCUCUUGCAGCUUGGUCGCCAAGGUGCCGAUAGAAGCGAUGUUACCCGCCACUGUCUUCUCAAGCGUCUCCCAAUGGCGGUCUUGCGCGUCGAGGCGGUCACAGAUCUGCUUCAGCAGCCGAGCUUGGGCGGCCAUGACCAGAGCCAUCGAGCUUGACACGCUGCUCCCUGUCGGUGCCCUCUCGGCCUUUGUUGAUGUGGUUAGCUUUGUGGAUGGCGUCGGUGUCGUGUUUGUGCGGACGGGCGAUGGGCUAUUCACCAUUGAUCUGAUGUCUCGCCGGGUCACAAAGGUAUUCAAGGACACUUUCUUCUCCGGCAUUUUCCCCUACAUGAGCUUCCACACUCCAGCACUGGAAGUUGCCUCAACUGGUGAGGGGCCAAGUUCAGGUACUUAAGGUGCUUAUGUGCAGGUUUCUCAGUCAAGGGGAAACUUAGUUGCCUCUCGGUGGGUUCUUGCUUUUAAUUCAAGGGCUCUAAGUUUUUUCUAAAGGAUUCUAUCUUGUAAAUUUGUUAGUUUGAUCACUGCCUUGUGUAGUUGUGUGUGAACUGGUAAAUGUGUGUGUGUUCUCCUGAACUGUAGCUUGCAAAGAAAUCCUAGAAUGAAUGUGAUUUCCCUUCUGUGUACAUAUGUAUGCUCAAGAAAACAAGCAUUUGAAGUGAA
rnacentral:lncRNA from 1 species